AAAUGCGUUGAGAUUCGUAAUUCGAACAUGAUUUCUGAGUUUUAAGUAGGAUUUUACUAGUGAGCAUUACUGUUCGGUUUUUGUUGCUGGGAAUAUCAGAAUGGAUGAAAGAGAAUGCUAGAGUUUGUGCAGGAGGUCAGUGUACUUGAUUUGGAUAGAAAAUUUUCAUUUUUUCUCCUGCAUACUUUGGAAUCUUUUUGGUGCCUGGCAACGUUUAGAGCUCGGUUUAAGUGAAAAUGACAUGGUUUGCGUGGUAACGCACAUUGUAGUAAGUUCAAUUGAAAGAGAUGGAGGUGAUUGCUUUGCGUAUGGUUGGAAAGUGGUCUGCUCUUGGUGUGGAGUUUCUUGGAGGUUUCUAGAGGAUCAUCCGUGGUUGUGUUAGUUUUUGGAUAGUGUUGCAGGGUGAUGCUUAUUGAUCACUUUUUAGUUUGUCUCUUGCAUUCUCUUCUCUGCACUUUUUGUCUACUCGCGAGGAAGCAAUGUCGGAGUCGCGAAUGGGAAGUGCAAUCUAGUCAUAUCAACGCCACUAGGUCACUCAGUUCUAAAUUUAGAAAAUCAAUGCAAGUCUUUGACGUCGAGUGUGCAAGCUUUAACGCUUUCACUUGGUUUUGACGUUGACGGUUUGAAUGAUUUUGAAAAGCACAGGUUAGUAAGAACAUGCGUUUAUGUUGGAUUGAAAGGAAAGAGGUGUUAUGUAGAUUCAUGGAAUUGGAUUCUGAUAACUAUUUCACUUCUUGUCGUUUUCUGGUUGCUAAAUAUGACAAAUUAGAACUUUGGCUUAACAGGUACAAUCGUGAUCGACAGCCGUGACUUUCGGGAAAUUAGAACAAUAGUUAUGCUGGUUAUAUCCCUCAUGAGUGUCCGCGGGUUGUCGUUUUUAGCACCAGAUAGUUUUGUCUUUCAUCUUUUAACAGUUUGUUCUGUUUCGCGGCCAUAGUUAUCAAGUCGUGGGACAUACAAAGGAUGAUCCGUGGGGCCCCUUAUCUUUCAAUUUUCAAGUUGUUUGCAUACUUAAGGCCUCUGUGUGGAUUAAGAUCGUGAUUACUCAUCUAAUCCCUGCGUUUAUUUUUUCAAGUCGGAUCAAACAUUCAGUUGACUCAAUGUCGACGACUACUGCACUGCAUCGAAUGAUGGCGGAAAGUCAGCGUAACCAUACCAGCCGCAUAUCCAAGAGGACAACCAGGCCCCGAUACAUAGCAAGCAAGCGAACGAAGCACAGUAAAUCAACGUGCCCAAUAACUCGUUCUAAUUGCUAUAAUACAGAAGUAUCGUCGAAGAAGAUGUUUCGGAUGACUUGGGUUUUAUGAAAUAAAAUAGGAUUUAUGUUUUGGGUGA